GAUGAACGCUGGCGGCGUGCCUAAUACAUGCAAGUCGAGCGAACAGAUGAGGAGCUUGCUCCUCUGACGUUAGCGGCGGACGGGUGAGUAACACGUGGAUAACCUACCUAUAAGACUGGGAUAACUUCGGGAAACCGGAGCUAAUACCGGAUAAUAUAUUGAACCGCAUGGUUCAAUAGUGAAAGACGGUUUUGCUGCCACUUAUAGAUGGAUCCGCGCCGCAUUAGCUAGUUGGUAAGGUAACGGCUUACCAAGGCAACGAUGCGUAGCCGACCUGAGAGGGUGAUCGGCCACACUGGAACUGAGACACGGUCCAGACUCCUACGGGAGGCAGCAGUAGGGAAUCUUCCGCAAUGGGCGAAAGCCUGACGGAGCAACGCCGCGUGAGUGAUGAAGGUCUCCGGAUCGUAAAACUCUGUUAUUAGGGAAGAACAAAUGUGUAAGUAACUAUGCACGUCUUGACGGUACCUAAUCAGAAAGCCACGGCUAACUACGUG
rnacentral:rRNA from 1 species